rnacentral:tRNA from 2 species
GGACCGGUAGCUCAAUGGUAGAGCAGCUGACUCUUAAUCAGCGGGUUGGAGGUUCGAGUCCUCCCCGGUUCACCA